rnacentral:rRNA from 1 species
UACAUGGGGUGCAAACGUUGCUCGGAAUCAUUGGGCGUAAAGCGCGCGUAGGCGGUUACUUAAGUCGAAUGUGAAAGCCCUCGGCUUAACCGAGGAAGUGCAUCCGAAACUGAGUAGCUAGAGUACGAAAGAGGGUCGCGGAAUUCCCGGUGUAGAGGUGAAAUUCGUAGAUAUCGGGAGGAACACCGGUGGCGAAGGCGGCGACCUGGGUCGAGACUGACGCUGAGGAGCGAAAGCGUGGGGAGCAAACAGG